AACUCUGUUAGCAAAAUCUAGCCCGUUUCCAACCUCUGACUCACACAUUACGUGACGUGAAUGGUGCGGAAUGAUUAUGUUCUCACUGGGAAAAAGGUUCUUCCGAAGCCCAUGAAUGCUAGGACAGAGGUGUCAGGGGC